UUUAAAGACAAACUGCCAGUAUUGUCAAAAAUGAUUGAAUUGACACUAAAUAUACAUCAAAAGAAAGUUGUGCCUCACAUAGGAAUGAUAUAUGCAAUUCUUGCACAGACACAUCACCAGAAGUUGAGUUUGGUUCAACGUAUGACAUCACUGUGUUUGCUUGACAACAUUGCUGAUCAAAAGAACUUAGAAACAAUAUAUCUAUGACCGUCUUCAUCCCCUUGGCUUGUGCAUGAGCUACGAACAGUCCCAUAAUUUACUGCAAGAAAUCGGACAAACCUACACAAACCAGAUGUCAACAGCUAUGAAAGAAGGAAAACGUUUACGUUUAGUUGGUGACAAUGUAAAUUAUGCAGUUGGCAUUCGAGAGUAAAGAAAGGAAAGCUCUGGAAAAACCAAAUUAUUACACCACGCCUUUGCUAGUGUAGCUCUGAUGAAUGACAGCAUGGACUGAUCUUAAACUUGACGAUUUAAAGUAAAUGAAGAAGAGUACAAAAACAUCCAACUAGACUAUACAAAACAUAUUGUGAAAGCAGCCAUUAAACAUGUUCCAUUCUUCAAAAUCCUUGAUGAUGUGUUUGAUGAGUCCAGCAAAACUAAUGAAGAACAGUAUAAAAAAACUUUAGUAAUUCCUUUAGAAACUGUGCUGAAAAAUGAGCAAUAUUAUGCUGAUGUUGUGGACAUCAUGGAACAACAUGAAAAUAUAAUUGAGAAAACUUUCCAAGAUGCUGGAGUUACACUUACAGAUAAAACCAAAAUCCAUACAGGAGGUGACCAAUUAACGAGAGAGAGAUAUUCAGGCGCUAAAGUUUUAAGGGCAGCAGAAGCAAAUGUAAAGCAUUGUUUUGGACAUUUAGGACCAAUCACCUUUGAAAUGUUCCAUCUUGUGAUGAACUUUCUGCAAGUUUUCUUUGAUUUGCUUUAUAAAGACAAAAGUGCAGGUGACAUUGGAACUCUGAAAUGUGAGAUAAAUCGGAUAAUGAGAACUCAAGUUAACUCUGAUGUAAAAAAUGCAUAUGAUGCAGACAAAGACUUUGCACUAUCCUUCAUCGAGGCGUACAUUGUGGAACUUGUGACAGAGUUUUUAUACGCCCGUCAAAUUUUUGACGGGACGUAUUAUGUUAUACAAAUAUCCGGCGUCCGUCCGUCCGUCUGUCUGUCCGGCGUAAACAUGUCGCACCGUAACUUGAGAAUGACUCAUCCAAAGUUCAUGAAACUUAAGAUAGUUGUUUCUUAUGAUGGUCAAACGAUAUGUAUACUUUUUGGUGAAAAUAAGAUUAAAACUUUUUGAGUUACGGGACUUAGUAACUAAAACAGGUGUGUGUUUUUUUUCACAUGUCGCACCGUAUCUCAAAAACAAUUUAUGAUUAUUGCUUAAAACUUUACACACUUCUUAGUUAUAUUAAUCUUAAGAUCUGUAUACUUUUUGGUGAUGAUUCAAAAUUUUAUUUUUGAGUUAUUGAGUAUUUUGUAAAAAAAGGGGGAGGGGUUUUUCACAUGUCGCGCCAUAUCUCAAAAAUGAUUUAUGAUUAUUGCUUAAAAUUUUACACACUUCUUAGUUAUAUUAAUCUAAAGAUCUGUAUACUUUUUGGUUUUGAUUCAAAAUUUUUUUUUUGAGAUAUUGAUUUUUUUUUUUAAAAGGGGUGUUUUCACAUGUCGCGCCAUAUCUCAAAAACGAUUUAUGAUUAUUGCUUAAAAUUUAACACACUUCUUAGUUAUAUUAAUCUAAAGAUCUGUAUACUUUUUGGUUUUGAUUCAAAAUUUUAUUUUAGAGAUAUUGAGUUUUUUGUAAAAAAAAAAAAGGGGGGGUUUUCGCAUGUCACGCCGUAUGUCAGAAACUAUUUAUGCUUAUUGCAUAAAAAUUCACACACAAGACGACGGGCGUAUCCUGUGCUCAUGGCGCAGCUGUUUAUUUGGAUUAGAUGACCACCUUUCACAGCCAACAAAGAAUAUUCCACCAGAAUUCACUACCAAAGAAGAAAAGAAACAAUGGACUGUUGACACUUUUGGAAAGAUGGUUGAUGAAUUUGUAUGGCCCAAGCAUAAACCAAAAAAUCAAGUUGCUGACGAAUCUGUUGUGGUGGAUGGACAAUUCAUGAAUUUGAAAGUGCGGCUUGCUAAUGGAAAAGAAGUUCAUUUAAGUCCACGACUGCCAGAAAAGAACAAAGAAACACCACCUGAAACAGAUAAAGUGAUGAACUAUGGUCAGAUGGUUCUAGAACUGGGAUUGCUAUUCAAAGAAUUGCUAGAUGUUUGCAAGUCCCCUGACCAGAAGAAAUUGUUGCGAUUGUUGAAGCACAGCAUGACUGUUUUUAAAGCAAAAUCAAACAAUAGCAAGUAUGCUUUCGAAAUACACCGAUUUUUAAUUCAACAAAUCAGCACAUUGUCAGAGAAAGAAGCUGCAGAGGUUGUACAAGGAAUGUUUGUCAAUACAACAGGAAAACCUGAUGGACAUAUACCGGCCGAUCUGCAGAUGGAAUAUGUUGUUAAAACAAUAAAAAAACACAUUA